rnacentral:lncRNA from 1 species
CUCUGGCCCAUGAAGGCCUGUGUGCUCUGAGAGAAUGUGCUGAGCCGGCCUUGUUUUUCUCCUGUUUCCCGUGACAGGGCGCUCCUCCCCACAGGACUUGCCAAGUCCUCAUGCACGUUGAGUCAACAUUUUGGAUAUGAGCUCAUUACAUGGGAAAAAGAGUUUAAACACCAGCUCAACAUGCAAGUGUACUAUGGGCUCUUUCCUGUCAAUGUUUCAGUUCAAAUUUCCUGAAGCUUGGAAAAUUGCAUGUAUUCGUACAAUAUCUCAGCAUUCUCCCUCUGGCCUGAAGUGAGGCAGUUGGCUUCCUGCUGUAGACUAAACAAAUGAAUAAAAGAUUCAUGCCAUGUAUAUAGUGUAUCUACAGCUUUAGGCAUUGUCUAUUUUACUGACUGCCUUGUGGGUGUACUUAUGUGUACAAUGGCCCAUUGUGCUAAUCCAGUGGUCAGAAUAAGAAUUAACAUUCUUGAAAACCACUUCAGCUGGUCAAUUUUGAUUUCAGCUAGCAAUCAAGUCAAUUUGAACAUCUAAAAGAACUAGAUAUAGUUAUUUUCUUUAUAUUCAUGGGGGAAGGAG